rnacentral:rRNA from 1 species
GAUUCCCAUCUAAUAGAUGAGUGAAUUCGCAUUAACACGACCAUAGGUUAAGUUAAUAAGGGCGCACGGUGGAUGCCUUGGCACUAGGAGCCGAAGAAGGACGGGACUAACGCCGAUAUGCUUUGGGGAGCUGUAAGUAAGCUGUGAUCCAGAGAUUUCCGAAUGGGGAAACCCAACACCCUUUAUCGGGUGUUACUGUUGACUGAAUACAUAGGUCAACAGAGGUAGACGCAGAGAACUGAAACAUCUAAGUACC